rnacentral:rRNA from 1 species
UACAGAGGGUGUAAGCGUUGUUCGGAAUUACUGGGCGUAAAGCGCGUGUAGGCUGCGGAGUAAGUCGGAUGUGAAAUCCCUUGGCUUAACCAAGGAAGUGCAUCCGAUACUGUUUCGCUUGAGUGUCGGAGGGGAUGGCGGAAUUCCCGGUGUAGAGGUGAAAUUCGUAGAUAUCGGGAGGAACACCUGUGGCGAAGGCGGCCAUCUGGACGACAACUGACGCUGAGACGCGAAAGCGUGGGUAGCAAACAGG